GAUGAACGCUGGCGGCGUGCCUAAUACAUGCAAGUCGAGCGAACAGACGAGGAGCUUGCUCCUCUGACGUUAGCGGCGGACGGGUGAGUAACACGUGGAUAACCUACCUAUAAGACUGGGAUAACUUCGGGAAACCGGAGCUAAUACCGGAUAAUAUAUUGAACCGCAUGGUUCAAUAGUGAAAGACGGUUUUGCUGUCACUUAUAGAUGGAUCCGCGCCGCAUUAGCUAGUUGGUAAGGUAACGGCUUACCAAGGCAACGAUGCGUAGCCGACCUGAGAGGGUGAUCUGCCACACUGGAACUGAGACACGGUCCAGACUCCUACGGGAGGCAGCAGUAGGGAAUCUUCCGCAAAGGGCGAAAGCCUGACGGAGCAACGCCGCGUGAGUGAUGAAGGUCUUCGGAUCGUAAAACUCUGUUAUUAGGGAAGAGCAAAUGUGUAAGUAACUAUGCACGUCUUGACGGUACCUAAUCAGAAAGCCACGGCUAACUACGUG
rnacentral:rRNA from 1 species